rnacentral:tRNA from 1 species
GCCUUCGUGGUGAAAUUGGUAAACACGCACGGUUCAGGUCCGUGUGCCGCAAGGCUUGGGAGUUCGAGUCUCCCCGAAGGCA